AGUAAAAGUCGUAACAAGGUUUCCGUAGGUGAACCUGCGGAAGGAUCAUUAACGAGUUUUUGAAAGGGGUUGUAGCUGGCCUAAAAACAAGGCAUGUGCACACCCUGCUCAAUCCACUCUCAAACCCCUGUGCACUUACUGUAAGCUAUGGUGGGAUAGCCGACUUCGGUUGGUUUGAAAGCCUUGCUUAUGUUUAUUACAAACGCUUCAGUUUAAGAAUGUAACACCGCGUUUAACGCAUUAAAUACAACUUUCAGCAACGGAUCUCUUGGCUCUCGCAUCGAUGAAGAACGCAGCGAAAUGCGAUAAGUAAUGUGAAUUGCAGAAUUCAGUGAAUCAUCGAAUCUUUGAACGCACCUUGCGCUCCUUGGUAUUCCGAGGAGCAUGCCUGUUUGAGUGUCAUGGAAUUAUCAACUUCUAUAAUUUUUGUUGUAGAAGCUUGGAUGUGGAGGCUGUGUUGGCUUGCAAAAGUCAACUCCUCUGAAAUGCAUUAGCGUGAACCUUACGGAUCGCCUUCAGUGUGAUAAUUAUCUACGCUGUGGUGUUGACGUAUCUUGUGUCAUGCUCACAGUCGUCCGCAAGGACAAUCACUUGACAAUCUGACCUCAAAUCAGGUAGGACUACCCGCUGAACUUAAGCAUAUCAAUAAGCGGAGGA
rnacentral:rRNA from 1 species